UGCAAGUCGAGCGGACAGAAGGGAGCUUGCUCCCGGAUGUUAGCGGCGGACGGGUGAGUAACACGUGGGCUAACCUGCCUGUAAGACUGGGAUAACUCCGGGAAACCGGAGCUAAUACCGGAUAGUUCCUUGAACCGCAUGGUUCAAGGAUGAAAGACGGUUUCGGCUGUCACUUACAGAUGGACCCGCGGCGCAUUAGCUAGUUGGUGAGGUAACGGCUCACCAAGGCGACGAUGCGUAGCCGACCUGAGAGGGUGAUCGGCCACACUGGGACUGAGACACGGCCCAGACUCCUACGGGAGGCAGCAGUAGGGAAUCUUCCGCAAUGGACGAAAGUCUGACGGAGCAACGCCGCGUGAGUGAUGAAGGUUUUCGGAUCGUAAAGCUCUGUUGUUAGGGAAGAACAAGUGCAAGAGUAACUGCUUGCACCUUGACGGUACCUAACCAGAAAGCCACGGCUAACUACGUGCCAGCAGCCGCGGUAAUACGUAGGUGGCAAGCGUUGUCCGGAAUUAUUGGGCGUAAAGGGCUCGCAGGCGGUUUCUUAAGUCUGAUGUGAAAGCCCCCGGCUCAACCGGGGAGGGUCAUUGGAAACUGGGAAACUU
rnacentral:rRNA from 1 species